rnacentral:rRNA from 1 species
UACGUAGGGUGCGAGCGUUAAUCGGAAUUACUGGGCGUAAAGCGUGCGCAGGCGGUUUUAUAAGCCAGAUGUGAAAUCCCCGGGCUUAACCUGGGAACUGCAUUUGUGACUGCAUGGCUGGAGUGCGGCAGAGGGGGAUGGAAUUCCGCGUGUAGCAGUGAAAUGCGUAGAUAUGCGGAGGAACACCGAUGGCGAAGGCAAUCCCCUGGGC